rnacentral:rRNA from 1 species
GACAGAGGGUGCAAACGUUGCUCGGAAUUACUGGGCGUAAAGGGCGCGUAGGCGGCACUGUUAGUCAGGCGUGAAAGUCCUGGGCUCAACCUGGGAACUGCGCUUGAUACGGCAGAGCUAGAGGAUGGAAGAGGCUCGCGGAAUUCCCAGUGUAGAGGUGAAAUUCGUAGAUAUCGGGAGGAACACCGGUGGCGAAGGCGGCGACCUGGGUAGAUACUGACGCUGAGGCGCGAAAGCGUGGGGAGCGAACAGG